GUUCCUGAAGAUUCCGAUGGUGGCUGUCAGGUGGAAGAGCGUGGAGACUUGUUCUCUUUAGUCCUGAGGAUUUUGAGCAGCAUGAAGGGUGGGGGCUACGAAGAGGCCGGUUCCAGCUGAGCAGAAAGAAUGAGAACCGGGGUCUCCCGUUCCUGCUGGUCAGCGUGGCCUGACUUCAAGAGGCCCCGUGCAAGGCCAGCUCCGGCGGGUUCGAGGAGAGUGCCCAUGGCUGUGGGAGAAGGGCAGGUUGUGGAGGAGAUGGAAACAUCAGGCGGGAGGUGCAUUUAUGGCCUUUCGGUGCUUUUCUGUGAUUGUCACUCUGUAAUGAGCUCCAGAAGGCAAACUUAUGAGAAACCUCCUCCUGGGCUUAUCAAGGAAGAUGAGACUAAGCCGGAAGACUGUAUACCAGAUGUACCAGGCAACGAACAUGCCAGGGAAUUUCUGGCUCACGCACCAACUAAAGGACUUUGGAUGCCACUGGGGAAAGAAGUCAAAGUUAUGCAGUGUUGGCGUUGUAAACGGUAUGGUCACCGAACAGGCGACAAAGAAUGCCCUUUCUUUAUCAAAGGCAACCAAAAGUUAGAACAGUUCAGAGUAGCACAUGAAGAUCCUAUGUAUGAUAUCAUACGAGAGAAUAAAAGACAUGAAAAGGACAUAAGGAUACAGCAGUUAAAACAGUUACUGGAGGAUUCCACCUCCGAUGAAGAUGGGAGCAGCUCCAGCUCCUCAGAAUGUAAAGAGAAACACAAGAAAAAGAAGAAGAAAGAAAAGCAUAAGAAAAGGAAAAAAGAAAAGAAGAAGAAGAAAAAACGAAAGCAUAGGUCUUCCAAGUCGAAUGAGAGUUCAGACUCGGACUAAGACUUGACCUAUUCCAUGUUCUCCUCUCAAAAAUCAGACACUGUGGCCCCAGACCAGAGGGUGUGGAAUCGGGGAGGACUUGGAGACCCCAAGAGAGCAGGGCAUUCGGUGUCACGCGUGUGAAUUCUCACCUGCCUUCCAGCAAAGACGUGACCCCCGGAGGACAGCUGAGCCCAUAAAGCUCAUCAAUCAAAAGUUCUUCAUCCUGAAAUCUCUCCCUUCAGACUCAGUACUCUCCAGUCCUAUUUAGAAAAUGAAGAGAAGUCACCAGAACUCCUUCUACCAAGGGCUGUGAUAGGAUGGAAAAAAUGGAUUCCUACACACUAAUGAGAAAUGACAGCAGAGGCAAAUGAGACUUUAAGAAGACUAAAGAAUUCCAAGUCUGGGUGGAAGGGUCCUCACCUCUUCUGGCUGGCCUGGGAUCGCGGACACAGGGCUGCGCGGCGUUGGGGACCCGGGCAGCGUUGCCCACAAGCCCGGGCCGCAUCUCGCACAAACAAGUCUCGGCUUCCCCAAGCAGCAGCAGCAGCACGGAGUGAAGACUGAGGCCAGGAGAGAACUUGCCGCAGCGCCUCGAACGUGACGGGCUGUGCCCAGGAGCUCCACUCCAGGGCCAUCACUUAGGCCUGGCCUGCAGCGCCCUCGUCCUCAGCCUCUCGGGCGUGCCCACCGCGCCCCUUCCCCGGUCCAGAGGAACCCAUCCCGGGGGACCCAGCCUCUCUUUACCCACGACUCACACCCCACUCCCUGUCCUGCAAGUCAGUCGCCUCCACUCCCUCGGCACCCAACCCCACCACUCACCGUGUUCGGUACGCCCACCUGCUCUAAGCCAACCUCCACAACCCGGAACGUCUCUGACACCUGGGCCUUGGCUCCCACUUUUAUAGGCUCCGCGUGCUGCGCGGGCCUCCCACAGAUGGCUCACGCAUGCGCCCUGGGCGAGGAACGGAGCCUGACUGUUCCUCCCAAGGACACCUGGAGAACCCUUGGAGCAGUUUUCGGGACCAUGCUCGCUCCGGCGCCUGGACGCCCUGGUGUUGGCGCUUCCAGAGGACGGGUCGGUUCCCUGUCCCACUCGCUCUCCCGGACUGUCCCUUCCAUUUGAGUGUGUUCGGUGAAGACAGUUUGUCUCCCCUGCUCUGAGCCCCUGGUUUCCUUCCUUCUUGGGCCUGACACCGCUGACACGAAGGAAGAGGAGCUGACAGAGGAGAAGGAGAGAGGAAGGAGGAGGCUAGCCUGGACCGUGUGGACCUGAAAGUAGGCAAUUCAUAAGGGAGGGGCGCUCCAGCCCCUACCGCUGCGGAGAGUAAAAGCAGGGGUGCAGAGGUUCUGGCAGUUAGGGCGCCCUGGGUUGGGAGAGUGAGGAACAGAGGGCCUGGGGAAGUCGUCUGUGGGCUGGUACGUGGGCAGUUGGAGAGAGAAGCUGGCACACACGGACUCCGCUUUUUUUUGCAUGGGAAAGAAAGGAAAGGCCUCGGAUCGUAGUUAAUGGGCGUCGUGGGGUUGUAAGGAUUAUUGUGAGUUUUUGUUUUGUUUUUAAAGCGAGAGAUUUAGGUAUCUGUAAGGCCAGAAUGGAGAGACAGGGAGAUGUUACCUAUAGUGGAGAGAGAAAGGAUGUUAGGAGGCAGUUCUGAGGAAGCACAAGGUGAGGUUAGCUAAGCCUGGUUACAAUGCUUUCCCUUGGACAGAAGAAAGUUACUGAGAUAGGCGGGAAAUGAAGUCUUUGAGGGCAGGAGUUUCGGUGCUUUAGCAUGUGAUGACCUUGAUAUUUUUCUUUUUCUAAAGUUUUUUAUUUUGAGAGAGAGAGUGUGUGUGUGUAUGAGGGAGCAGGAGAGGAGAGAGGGAGAGAGAGAAUCCCAAGCAGGCUCCUUGCUGUCAGCACAGAGCCUGACCUGGGGCUCAGUCUCACAAAACUGUGAGAUCAUGACCUGAGCUGAAACCAAGAGUCUGGCACUUAACUGACUGAGCUACCCAUGCGCCCUACUCUUGAUAUUUUUCAAUGGAGGGCAGAAUAAAGACUUUAAGGGAACAUUGAAAAUUUGGGAUGACUGUCUGCAUUACCAGGUGAAGUUGUGUUUGAGCAGAAAUACUGGUGCCUGAAACUGGAUAAAGUUUUUCUUUCACAUAGAGAUGGAGGUAUGCCAUCCUUUCAGGGCAGGUCUGGAAGCUCCUUGCUGUCACAAAGAACCCAGGCUCCUUUCGUUUUGCUCUGCCAUCCUUACAAUGGCUUCCAUCUUCAAAAUGCCACAUUCCAAGAUGCUUGUUCCAGGCAGAAAGCAGGGGGUUGAGAAGGGAAAGGGUAAAAAAGAGCACAACAGGUACAUAGCAGCUUCUCUUCUGUCAUCAGUAUUGCUUUUAAGGAGCUUUACUAGAAGACCUACCCAACUUCAGCUUAUACCACAAUGGCUUCCCAUGGCUGAAAUGAGGUUGUCUUUUAGCUAGGCAUGUUGCCACUUGCAAUAAAUUGAGAUGCUAUGACUAAGGAAGAGAAUGGGUAUUAAUUGAGCUGACAACUAACAAUGUCUGCCAUACUGCAGGGAAGGGAAAAAACGGUUCUACAAACAUGCAAAAGGAUUGCUGGUAGAGUUGAGGGCUGACCUGGAAUGAGGAUCAGUACUUUGUAUUUUCCUUCAUCUGUAGUGGUGUAUCACUUGCUCAGUCAUAUUCAGUUGCUUGGGAGAGACCUUGAAUGAUUGCAUGAAUCCAAACCAAGGACUAUGGUUUUACAGAGCUUGUGGACAGAAGAGCAAGGGUUCAAGAAAGUUCAGUGUCAUGGUGAGAAAUUAAUACAUCAUGACACAUAAUGUAUACCCUGUACUUGCAUGGCCGUGAACAUGAGUGCCUCCUUAAAGUUUUACCCUAGGUGCCUCACCCCACCCUACUUAGUGGCCUAGUGUAUAGUCAGGAAGAGAAAGGAAGUAAUGUCAGAGGGGAGCUGAUCAAAUGGAGAAAAAAUUAAUGGAAAUCUUUUACAUGACAGGGAGUUGUAGUCAGAGAAUGGACAGUUUAAAUUUAGGAUUUCAGGGUUGGAACUGUUGCUAAUUAUAACAAGGUCCAUCGGGUGAUCAAGUAGUGCUUUGCUCAGAUGCUGUGUGGUGAGAGUCAUUGGCACUGAGGAAGGAAAAGAUCUUGGAAGCUGGAGUUUUGGAUGACUCACCCCCUCCUUCAUAUCGUGGUCAUGUAGAGGUUUCCUAUGUCCUCAAUGAAUGUGGCACAGUGACCUACAAGGUGAAAGACAGAAGUAUCAGAAGAUGUUUGUAUUUAUAAUUUUAUAAUAUUUUUCUUAAAGAUAACCCCCAAAAUUUAUAAUAGUCCCCAGAAAACUGGGAUUUUCCACAAGCUAGUGGCCACGUCUCAGUGCUGGGGUGCAUGAACAGUGAAAGAAAGAAGAACCUCCUUAUGAGGGCUGCUCAGAAUAGGAGUAUCCUUGGGAGGAAACAAAGUUCAGCAACUAUUCAGAAAUAGGUUGAGGGAUAUAGUGGGUUGUGUUCAGCCAAACAGGGCUUCCAAGUUACAUAAUCGAGAGGGUUCGUAGGUAGAUCAGCAGGGAGCAGGAUUGGAAUGAGAGUGUUCCAGAAAUGCCAGCUAAUUGGAAGCUUUGGAUUUGAGGCUGUGCUGGAAGAUGUCACAGAUGAAACUACCCAGUUUUGUACUACUUGGUCUGUAGUGGUACUAUCUGGCUUAUAGAUUCCACUAGACCUCUAAUAUAAAAAUGUUUUUGUGCCAACUGAGACAUUUUGUGUGGGAUGGGGUGUCUGAGGUUAGGUGGUGGUUGCUAUUUUUAUGUUAAGGUCCAGUUAGUGAACUCUGUGUUCUCUGCUCAGGAUUCCAAAUGGGUAUUAUUAUCAUUGUCUCUAUUUUAAGAUGACGACACCUGAGAUUCAGGGAGGUUAAGUAAUCUAACCAUAUAUAUGAAGUUUCAAUCCUAAAUUGGAAGGAGAUUGGGCUAAGGUCUUUGGAUUCCCAGGCCCAGUGCCUUUUCUAUUGCUUGGGCGGUCCCUGUUAUUCUCCUUUUGACAGUCUGACAGUCUCUGUCUCAUUAAAGCAGCCUGAUUUAUACUUUCCCCUCAGUUGACACACUGGAUUUUAUAUUGAAAAUUUAAACACCAAGUAUAAUAAUAAUAAUAGUCUUGUUUUCCAUA